GUGUCAGCCGCCGCGGUAAUACGUAUGGGGCAAGCGUUAUCCGGAUUCAUUGGGCGUAAAGAGCGCGUAGGCGGCUUGGUAAGUCAGAUGUGAAAACUGGGGGCUCAACCCGCAGCCUGCAUCUGAAACUUCCAGGCUUGAGUCUGGUAGAGGAAAGUGGAAUUCCCAGUGUAGCGGUGAAAUGCGCAGAUAUUGGGAGGAACACCAGUGGCGAAGGCGGCUUUCUGGGCCACGACUGACGCUGAGGCGCGAAAGCUAGGGGAGCAAACAGGAUUAGAUACCCUCGUAGUCC
rnacentral:rRNA from 1 species